AACGAACGCUGGCGGCAUGCCUAACACAUGCAAGUCGAACGAUUGACUUCGGGUGAUAGUGGCGCACGGGUGCGUAACGCGUGGGAAUCUGCCCUUAGGUUCGGAAUAACAGCUGGUAACGGCUGCUAAUACCGGAUGAUAUCGCGAGAUCAAAGAUUUAUCGCCUGAGGAUGAGCCCGCGUUGGAUUAAGUAGAUGGUGGGGUAAAGGACUACCAAGCCGACGAUCCAUAGCUGGUCUGAGAGGAUGAUCAGACACACUGGGACUGAGACACGGCCCAGACUCCUACGGGAUGCAGCAGUGGGGAAUAUUGGACAGUGGGCGCAAGCCUGAUCCAGUAAUGCCGCGUGAGUGAUGAAGGCCCUAGGGUUGUAAAGCUCUUUUACCCGUGAAGAUAAUGACUUUACCGGGAGAAUAAGCCCCGGCUAACUCCGUG
rnacentral:rRNA from 1 species